UUUUAAACAACCCAACCAAUGAUGUUAACAAGGAGGAGUGGAAGCAGAUCUGUCAGCUAUUUACAAGUCCACAAUUUAUUGCGCACUCCAUAAAGAAUAAGGAAAAUCGGAAGAAACAAGAGUAUUCUACAACGUAGGGUACAAAAUCGCUGGCAGCCGUCCGUUUUGAAAAAACGAACCCGGACCUCAUUGAGUCAUGGAAGGAUUAUCAUUGGAAGAAAUCAACAAAUGAUUUCGUGAACGAUGAUGCUCGCCAAGAUUAU